GGAAGAGGAGCCACUGAUCAUUUUCAUUUUUAAAAAAUUACUAAAACCCCCUCCUUUUUAGCUGUUUCUCAUUGCCAAGUCUACAUUUAAGUAUCAAAGUUAAAACUUUUUGUAUAUCUAUGGAAGAGAUGAGGUGACAGCAAAUCAUGCUUUUCUCUGCCAAAAUUAGCCAGCAGUCAUUAACAUAUUAAAUUGUAAGCCUAAUUCAUAUGGUUCAUAUGACCAGUUCUGGACAGCAAUCAAUAACUUUGUUCUGUUUUCAAAGUUUAGGUUGAAGAUGGAUUUGGCUUUUGGUAGGAAGGGGGCUAAAUCCUUUGCAGGGGAGGAGACAUGGCUUUAUGGACAAAGCUGGGAGGCAGAAGUCCAGCACCAGAAAAAUCAAAACUUCCUUGUCUCAGGACCAAGUUAACCAAGGUUGAGCUUUUCAGUAUGGGAAGGGCCGAAGAUGACAUGGUUGCUACUCUGAUUUAGAUUGUUGAGAGAGCUAUCCAGUUUUAACGUGCAUGACUGCAAGGCAGAAGCUGUACUUGGUAUCAGAGAGAUUGAAGCUGUAGUCAAAUUCACUUUGUUCACCUGGAUUGGUUAGUGAUGGAAGCCAUGAUUUAAAAUCCUACCAACAGUGACUUAGUUUCUCUUUAUGAAAGAAGAUAGAUUUUUACCUCUCCAAGAAUACUGACGUUCUCCAGCAGAACUAAUAAGUACCAAAAAUGUUUGAAUCUUCUUGCACAAAACCUGAUAAAAUUCCUUAAUAUUUGCCCUUGUUAUCUCUGUAAAUUAACAGCCAAGUAAAAAUAAAUAGUAUUUGAAUAAAUGUUGAACAUUUUUCUGUAUUAUAUUUUUAAAUGGAACAAGUGUACCUAAAACUUACAUUUUAUAACCUGGAACUUGAUGAAUUCAUUACAAUAACAUUUGAGCAGAAGAAUGGAUAGAAUUAAAUUCCUGUAACUAUUUUGUUACUACCUAAUUUGAGUAUGGUGUUCCAAGGUGACUGAAAUAUUUACUUUGUGAUAUAUGUGCUUGUCUAUGAGCAUGCUUAUGUGAAUAACAUAAGUUUAGGAAUUAUUUUCUAUGCAUGUGAGAUUUAAUUAUUACUGUGUGAAAGUUUUGUUUAAUGUUCAGUAGGAAAUCUUUUCCAUCCUAAUAGAUAUUUUCAAUCUUCCUUUAUAUUUUAAGUAUAUAAUUUUAAGUAUAUAAAAUUUUCAGAAGA